rnacentral:rRNA from 1 species
AGGGGGUUAGGGUUGUUCGGAAUUACUGAGCGUAAUCCGCACGUAUGGGGAUUGGAAGGUUGGGGGUGAAAUCCGAGGGCUCAGCCCUGGAACUGCCUCCUCAACUAUCAAUCUGCAUUUCAAAAUAGGUGACUGGAAUUCCGAGGGUAUAGGUGAGAUUCGUAGAUGUUCGGAGGAACACCAUAUGGCUAACGCGGAUCACUGAUUCCAUACUGACGCUAACGUGCAAGAGCGGGCGCAGAUGACCGGAUUAGAUACCCUGGUAGUCCACACCGAUACACGAUGAAUGCCACGUCGUCGGGUA